CCCUUAGAUGUUCUGGGCCGCACGCGCGCUACACUGAUGCAUUCAUCAAGCCUAGCCUUGACCGAGAGGUCCGGGUAAUCUUUGAAACUGCAUCGUGAUGGGGCUAGAUUAUUGCAAUUAUUAAUCUUCAACGAGGAAUGCCUAGUAAGCGUGAUUCAUCAAAUCGCGUUGAUUACGUCCCUGCCCUUUGUACACACCGCCCGUCGCUCCUACCGAUUGAAUGUGUUGGUGAGGAGCUCGGAUUGGCAGCAGUUGGUGGUUCGCCACCGGCUAUUGCUGAGAAGUCCUCCAAACCGCCCCAUUUAGAGGAAGGAGAAGUCGUAACA
rnacentral:rRNA from 1 species